rnacentral:ribozyme from 16 species
AAAGGUUUAUGAUUUGAUGGAUUUUCUUUCGAUUUCUUUUUCUUUUUCUUUUUCUCCUUCUUACCUUUUUUGGAUAGGGGUUCUACCGCAGUUUUUUGAACCGGGGCCAGAGUUCGGGGUUUCUG